rnacentral:rRNA from 1 species
UACAGAGGGGGCAAGCGUUAUUCGGAAUUAUUGGGCGUAAAGGGCUCGUAGGCGGUUUGUCGCGUCGGGAGUGAAAACACCGGGCUUAACUCGGUGCUUGCUUUCGAUACGGGCAGACUAGAGGUAUGCAGGGGAGAACGGAAUUCCUGGUGUAGCGGUGAAAUGCGCAGAUAUCAGGAGGAACACCGGUGGCGAAGGCGGUUCUCUGGGCAUUACCUGACGCUGAGGAGCGAAAGUGUGGGGAGCGAACAGG